rnacentral:rRNA from 1 species
AGGAUAAACGCUGGCGGCGUGCCUAACACAUGCAAGUCGAACGUCUCUUCUUUCGGGAAGAGGAGUGGCGGACGGGUGAGGAACACGUGGGAACCUGCCCUUUAGUGAGGAAUACCGGCGAGAAAUCGCCGACAAGACCGCAUAGCCCUCUUUGAUGAGAGUCAAAGAAGGAAAGCUUCGCAAGAGGCGCUAGAGGAGGGGCCUGCGUCCGAUUAGCUAGUUGGUGGGGUAAGAGCCUACCAAGGCGUCGAUCGGUAGCUGGUCUGAGAGGACGAUCAGCCACACUGGGAUUGAGAACGGCCCAGACUCCUACGGGGGCAGCAGUGAGGAAUUUUCGGCAAUGGGGGAAACCCUGACCGAGCAACGCCGCGUGCAGGAAGACGGCCUUCGGUUGUAAACUGCUUUUCUUUGGGACGAGGAAGGACGGUACCAGAGGAAUCAGCCCGGCUCACUACGUGCCAGCAGCCGC